rnacentral:rRNA from 1 species
GAUGAACGCUGGUGGCGUGCCUAACACAUGCAAGUCGAGCGAUUCUCUUCGGAGAAGAGCGGCGGACGGGUGAGUAACGCGUGGGUAACCUGCCCUGUACACACGGAUAACAUACCGAAAGGUAUGCUAAUACGAGAUAACAUGCUUUUAUCGCAUGGUAGAAGUAUCAAAGCUUUUGCGGUACAGGAUGGACCCGCGUCUGAUUAGCUAGUUGGUGAGGUAACGGCUCACCAAGGCGACGAUCAGUAGCCGACCUGAGAGGGUGAUCGGCCACAUUGGAACGGGGACACGGUCCAAACCCCUACGGGGGGCAGGAGGGGGGAAUAUUGCACAAUGGGCGAAAGCCUGAUGCAGCAACGCCGGGUGAGGGAUGAAGGCCUUCGGGUCGUAAAGCUCUGUCCUCAAGGAAGAAAAUGACGGUACUUGGGGAGGAAGCCCCGGCUAACUACGU